GGGUUGUGAGGUUAAGCGACUAAGCGUACACGGUGGAUGCCCUGGCAGUCAGAGGCGAUGAAGGACGUGCUAAUCUGCGAUAAGCGUCGGUAAGGUGAUAUGAACCGUUAUAACCGGCGAUUUCCGAAUGGGGAAACCCAGUGUGAUUCGUCACACUAUCAUUAACUGAAUCCAUAGGUUAAUGAGGCGAACCGGGGGAACUGAAACAUCUAAGUACCCCGAGGAAAAGAAAUCAACCGAGAUUCCCCCAGUAGCGGCGAGCGAACGGGGAGGAGCCCAGAGCCUGAAUCAGUGUGUGUGUUAGUGGAAGCGUCUGGAAAGGCGCGCGAUACAGGGUGACAGCCCCGUACACAAAAAUGCACAUGCUGUGAGCUCGAUGAGUAGGGCGGGACACGUGGUAUCCUGUCUGAAUAUGGGGGGACCAUCCUCCAAGGCUAAAUACUCCUGACUGACCGAUAGUGAACCAGUACCGUGAGGGAAAGGCGAAAAGAACCCCGGCGAGGGGAGUGAAAAAGAACCUGAAACCGUGUACGUACAAGCAGUGGGAGCACAGAGCAAUCUGUGUGACUGCGUACCUUUUGUAUAAUGGGUCAGCGACUUAUAUUCUGUAGCAAGGUUAACCGAAUAGGGGAGCCGAAGGGAAACCGAGUCUUAACUGGGCGUUAAGUUGCAGGGUAUAGACCCGAAACCCGGUGAUCUAGCCAUGGGCAGGUUGAAGGUUGGGUAACACUAACUGGAGGACCGAACCGACUAAUGUUGAAAAAUUAGCGGAUGACUUGUGGCUGGGGGUGAAAGGCCAAUCAAACCGGGAGAUAGCUGGUUCUCCCCGAAAGCUAUUUAGGUAGCGCCUCGUGAAUUCAUCUCCGGGGGUAGAGCACUGUUUCGGCAAGGGGGUCAUCCCGACUUACCAACCCGAUGCAAACUGCGAAUACCGGAGAAUGUUAUCACGGGAGACACACGGCGGGUGCUAACGUCCGUCGUGAAGAGGGAAACAACCCAGACCGCCAGCUAAGGUCCCAAAGUCAUGGUUAAGUGGGAAACGAUGUGGGAAGGCCCAGACAGCCAGGAUGUUGGCUUAGAAGCAGCCAUCAUUUAAAGAAAGCGUAAUAGCUCACUGGUCGAGUCGGCCUGCGCGGAAGAUGUAACGGGGCUAAACCAUGCACCGAAGCUGCGGCAGCGACGCUUAUGCGUUGUUGGGUAGGGGAGCGUUCUGUAAGCCUGCGAAGGUGUGCUGUGAGGCAUGCUGGAGGUAUCAGAAGUGCGAAUGCUGACAUAAGUAACGAUAAAGCGGGUGAAAAGCCCGCUCGCCGGAAGACCAAGGGUUCCUGUCCAACGUUAAUCGGGGCAGGGUGAGUCGACCCCUAAGGCGAGGCCGAAAGGCGUAGUCGAUGGGAAACAGGUUAAUAUUCCUGUACUUGGUGUUACUGCGAAGGGGGGACGGAGAAGGCUAUGUUGGCCGGGCGACGGUUGUCCCGGUUUAAGCGUGUAGGCUGGUUUUCCAGGCAAAUCCGGAAAAUCAAGGCUGAGGCGUGAUGACGAGGCACUACGGUGCUGAAGCAACAAAUGCCCUGCUUCCAGGAAAAGCCUCUAAGCAUCAGGUAACAUCAAAUCGUACCCCAAACCGACACAGGUGGUCAGGUAGAGAAUACCAAGGCGCUUGAGAGAACUCGGGUGAAGGAACUAGGCAAAAUGGUGCCGUAACUUCGGGAGAAGGCACGCUGAUAUGUAGGUGAAGUCCCUCGCGGAUGGAGCUGAAAUCAGUCGAAGAUACCAGCUGGCUGCAACUGUUUAUUAAAAACACAGCACUGUGCAAACACGAAAGUGGACGUAUACGGUGUGACGCCUGCCCGGUGCCGGAAGGUUAAUUGAUGGGGUCAGCGCAAGCGAAGCUCUUGAUCGAAGCCCCGGUAAACGGCGGCCGUAACUAUAACGGUCCUAAGGUAGCGAAAUUCCUUGUCGGGUAAGUUCCGACCUGCACGAAUGGCGUAAUGAUGGCCAGGCUGUCUCCACCCGAGACUCAGUGAAAUUGAACUCGCUGUGAAGAUGCAGUGUACCCGCGGCAAGACGGAAAGACCCCGUGAACCUUUACUAUAGCUUGACACUGAACAUUGAGCCUUGAUGUGUAGGAUAGGUGGGAGGCUUUGAAGUGUGGACGCCAGUCUGCAUGGAGCCGACCUUGAAAUACCACCCUUUAAUGUUUGAUGUUCUAACGUUGACCCGUGAUCCGGGUUGCGGACAGUGUCUGGUGGGUAGUUUGACUGGGGCGGUCUCCUCCUAAAGAGUAACGGAGGAGCACGAAGGUUGGCUAAUCCUGGUCGGACAUCAGGAGGUUAGUGCAAUGGCAUAAGCCAGCUUGACUGCGAGCGUGACGGCGCGAGCAGGUGCGAAAGCAGGUCAUAGUGAUCCGGUGGUUCUGAAUGGAAGGGCCAUCGCUCAACGGAUAAAAGGUACUCCGGGGAUAACAGGCUGAUACCGCCCAAGAGUUCAUAUCGACGGCGGUGUUUGGCACCUCGAUGUCGGCUCAUCACAUCCUGGGGCUGAAGUAGGUCCCAAGGGUAUGGCUGUUCGCCAUUUAAAGUGGUACGCGAGCUGGGUUUAGAACGUCGUGAGACAGUUCGGUCCCUAUCUGCCGUGGGCGCUGGAGAACUGAGGGGGGCUGCUCCUAGUACGAGAGGACCGGAGUGGACGCAUCACUGGUGUUCGGGUUGUCAUGCCAAUGGCACUGCCCGGUAGCUAAAUGCGGAAGAGAUAAGUGCUGAAAGCAUCUAAGCACGAAACUUGCCCCGAGAUGAGUUCUCCCUGACUCCUUGAGAGUCCUGAAGGAACGUUGAAGACGACGACGUUGAUAGGCCGGGUGUGUAAGCGCAGCGAUGCGUUGAGCUAACCGGUACUAAUGAACCGUGAGGCUUAACCUUACAACGCCGAAG
rnacentral:rRNA from 1 species